ACCUGAAACCGUGUACGUACAAGCAGUGGGAGCCUCUUAAUGGGGUGACUGCGUACCUUUUGUAUAAUGGGUCAGCGACUUAUAUUCUGUAGCAAGGUUAACCGAAUAGGGGAGCCGAAGGGAAACCGAGUCUUAACUGGGCGUUAAGUUGCAGGGUAUAGACCCGAAACCCGGUGAUCUAGCCAUGGGCAGGUUGAAGGUUGGGUAACACUAACUGGAGGACCGAACCGACUAAUGUUGAAAAAUUAGCGGAUGACUUGUGGCUGGGGGUGAAAGGCCAAUCAAACCGGGAGAUAGCUGGUUCUCCCCGAAAGCUAUUUAGGUAGCGCCUCGUGAAUUCAUCUCCGGGGGUAGAGCACUGUUUCGGCAAGGGGGUCAUCCCGACUUACCAACCCGAUGCAAACUGCGAAUACCGGAGAAUGUUAUCACGGGAGACACACGGCGGGUGCUAACGUCCGUCGUGAAGAGGGAAACAACCCAGACCGCCAGCUAAGGUCCCAAAGUCAUGGUUAAGUGGGAAACGAUGUGGGAAGGCCCAGACAGCCAGGAUGUUGGCUUAGAAGCAGCCAUCAUUUAAAGAAAGCGUAAUAGCUCACUGGUCGAGUCGGCCUGCGCGGAAGAUGUAACGGGGCUAAACCAUGCACCG
rnacentral:rRNA from 1 species